CCGGCGCACGGGUGAGUAACACGUAUGGAGCCUGCCCUAUGCAGGGGGAUAAGCGGAAGAAAUUCCGUCUAAUACCGCAUAACACCUUUAGGAGACAUCUUCUUGGGGUCAAAGGAGGCGACUCCGGCAUAGGAUGGCCAUGCGUCGCAUUAGCUAGUCGGCGGGGUAACGGCCCACCGAGGCGACGAUGCGUAGGGGUUCUGAGAGGAAGGUCCCCCACACUGGUACUGAGACACGGACCAGACUCCUACGGGAGGCAGCAG
rnacentral:rRNA from 1 species